rnacentral:rRNA from 1 species
AAUCCCUUAUAGAAAAAGACUAAGUCGCUAUAAAAUGAGCUUUUGUAGGAUUAGGUAGUUGGUAAGAUAAAAGCUCACCAAGCCGAUGAUCCUUUAUUGGUCUUAGCGGAUGUACAAUCACACUAGAAAUGAAAAAGGUCUAGUCAUCGAACAGGUGGCAGCAGUGAGGAAUUUUGAACAAUGAGCGAAAGCUUGAUUCAGCGAUAUAGAGUGAAUGAUUGAAAGCUAUUUGGUUGUAAAGUUCUUUUGCUAAAAACGAUUUGACUAUUUAGAGAAAAAGCCCUGACUAAUUUCGUGCCAGCAGUCGCGGUGAUACGAAAAGGGCUAGUGUUACUCAGAAUGAUUGGGUGUAAAGUGUGCGUAGGCUGUAAUCACAGUUAAUUCUUAAAUUUUAGUAGCAAUUACUAAGUCAAGUUUUAAUAACAAGUUACUUGAGUAAAAUAUGAGUUUGUAGAAUUGCAAGUGGAGGAAUAAAAUCCAAAGAUUUUUGCAGGAACAUCGAAAGUGAAAGCAACAACUGGUUUUAUACUGACGCUGAUUCACGAAAGUUUAGGUAGCGACCAGGAUUAGAGACCCUGUUAGUCUAAACUGUAAACGAUGAGCACUCAUUUUUGG